AUUGAACGCUGGCGGCAGGCCUAACACAUGCAAGUCGAACGAGUGGCGGACGGGUGAGUAAUGUCUGGGAAACUGCCUGAUGGAGGGGGAUAACUACUGGAAACGGGCGCUAAUACCGCAUACUAUCAGAUGAGCCUAGGUAGGAUUAGCUAGUUGGUGGUGUAAAGGCCUACCAAGGCGACGAUCCGUAACUGGUCUGAGAGGAUGAUCAGUCACACUGGAACUGAGACACGGUCCAGACUCCUACGGGAGGCAGCAGUGGGGAAUAGUGCACAAUGGGCGCAAGCCUGAUGCAGCCAUGCCGCGUGUAUGAAGAAGGCCUUCGGGUUGUAAAGUACUUUCAGCGGGGAGGCGUUACCCGCAGAAGAAGCACCGGCUAACUCCGUGCCAGCAGCCGCGGUAAUAC
rnacentral:rRNA from 1 species